GCUGGCAGCUGGCUCUCUCAACUCUUGCAUAGUCGCCCACUGAAGCUAAGCAGGGCCGAGUCCAGUCAGUACCUGGAUGGGAGACCACAUGGGAAAGUUAGGUUGCUGUCGGAA
ensembl:rRNA 5S_rRNA 5S ribosomal RNA